GCAUUAGGAAACUUGGGCCCUUCCUGGCAAAUAUGGAUCUAAAUUAGAGAUUUCGUCUGGAUCCUUAGUGCUCCUUAGACUUGGCCAUCCCUGGCUUCACACAGAAUUAGUCUGGUGCUGAUUCCACUCAAAGGAAAAAGUGAAAGAAAAAAUACUUCCAAAUGGGACAUGUGGAAAGAAUCUCAGAGACACCCGGAGCUGAAACACUUGAAUGUGAAUUCCAGGUUUGGAAAUGAACUGAAGCAAGUUGUAAAUCCAAAUCCCACUGACGUUGGAAGUUCUGCCCCGGUAGCUGUUCUGGGUUAGCCCCCAUUUGGAAUAUUUCUGAGUAAGAACUGAAGCAUCUCUACUCGUUUAGAGGAAAUGUUGCACAACGCAGGACAAACCAGUCAAGCCACUUUAAACAGGAUAAAUGAAUGAAGGCUUCAAGAACCGUACGGACCAAAACACGAGACAGCUAGAGGGAUGGCACCAGCAGACCAGUGUACUGAAGGGGGUAUUCCUGUGAUGUAUCUGCUGUAACUGGUGUUUGCAAGGUCUGAAAGCAGAUGAAGGCCAUGGUAAGCGUGGUUUCCCCUGAGGAGCCCUGGCUUUCCACCGAUCCUUCAGGAGGUGAGUGCUCUGCGGAGAUUCAGCGGUGACUCUUGCCGAAAGGCAACGCCUUGUCCCUGCUGCUGAUUCCCACCUCUUCUCUGGCUGAGCCGCAUCAUCAACUAGGGCCGGCUGAAAAGUAGCCCAGCAAAAAUUACAAAAUUAUCCUCUUUCAGCUGGAUAAAUGUCGCAGCUUGGUUCAUCACAGAACUGCACAGAUGCCUGUGCUGUCAUGGCACAGCCAGAUACAUGAAGGCGGAAUAAGAAACCCGGGAGGGAGAGGGGGAUGUGGCUGUUAGCACAGGCUGAAAGGCACAGCAAGCCCUGGGACAAACGCCUUUUACGAAGUUGGUGCUGAGCAGAGCUUGUUCUGAAUUAGAAUUUGUGCUAAAAAUUGUUAUCCUUCCUGGAAAUGUAAAGUCCAUAUUCAGCAGUUUCCCACAGUGGGGGAGAAAUAUAGUUUAGAAAGAAGUAUUUUUGUUUUGAAAUCUUCUAAAGAAAACUGAGCCCAGCCCUCCACCUCUCAGGGCUGGGGGACGUGACUACUCAGCCAGAGCUGCAGGACCGAGGCCAGACCUCUUGCACCGUGGGAGGAAACCUGGGAGGAGAGUUAAUUAACCAUCUAGCACAGAGGAAUGAUCUUGGUACUGCAAAAAAAAAAAAAAAGCUACUAAGUAAAGGGAGCUGGUCAAGAGGAAUUAGGGAAUUAGGCUUGUCAGUGAAGCAGGGCAGGCAUCUCUGCAGUGGAAAAGCAUCCGAGAGAUGCAAGGAGGAAAGCGCUUUCUGGAGGUCCUCGUUAAGAGGCAGUGGAGCUUGGCAAAGGUGCUCCAGGAGGUGGGACACGCCGCCAACGUCCUGCUGGGUGCCAGAGACGAUAGGAAGCAAUGACACUGAGUUAAGGGCUUGCCACAGAUGAAUGAAGAAACUCAAGUCAUGUUCUUAAAGAAUUGUACAAAAGUCAGUGAAAAGGAGAAAGGUGAAGUACAAUAACGCAAUUUGGUGGAGUUUCAGAAUGGAGAAAAAUGAUUUCUCUUUAGCUCUAUAGCGGAGCAGGAAGUGUGAAAAAUGAAGUUUUUCAUGCCUCUCAAGAAGGGAGGAAAAAGUUCGGAAUCCUUUAUUGUUUCCUCGGUUGCAGGUGUGAAUAUUCAAGGUCACUGAAGGCAGUGGGAUAUACUGAUUCCAUUACGAUUACUAAAACACUAAAUGCCUACUGGCAUCAUCAGGUCCCUUUGGAAAGCCUUGCUGGCUGCAGAAUGUGUAUGUACUUGCCUAUAAUGAGCUGUUUACCAGUGCGUGCGUCACCCAGGCAGACCAAUAUUUGAGGCUGCCACUAGGAGCAUCUGUCCCGCGUGGGCACGGGCAGCAGCGAGGCGGCUGAAUUGUGUGUUUAGGGAAGGCAGCCUGUGUGAGGGGAACACAAACAAAACAUGGAUCUGAAAAAUGUGGAAUUAUUUCCUGCUACAGAACAAGGGAGCCCUCAGGUCCUGUGAAAGUCCUUUUCACAUCACCGUCCCUUGCGAUACCCAGGAGUGAGACCAGGGUGAUGCCCCCGUUAUUUAAAUGCCUGCUGCUCUCUAGAGGAUGAAAACAUUUGGGGUGCAAGAACGUGUCAUGGAUCCUCUUUUCUUUGUCCAUGUUCCUGGGUGCAGCAUUUUCGCACUUUGAAACAAUGGAAGUUCACAACAGAAAUGUUCAAUUAACUGUUAAACGCUCUCAUCAAUUCAGGGAUCAUUUCCAAAUCUGAUGGAUGAGUUCAAAAUAUUCAAUUCAUUCUAACCAUCAGGCGGAAAAACAGUUGAACUCCCGAGGAGAAAAGAGCAGAUAAAUGCCGAAAUGAACUUGCAUAUCUUUCAGAGGUACGGUGCACCGGAGACAUUGAGUUAUGAACAGGAAAACUUCCCGAGUGUGUACAGUAAGCGGAAUAAUGAUGGGCAAUGUCUCAAGCUAAGUCUUUUCUUUCUCUGACUUCAUUUUGAUCCAAGUUUAAAAGGCAUGGCAUUUGUGUUUGUGUACACAUGGAGAGAGUCUCAUUCCAUGCACAAUUAAAUUAGUUCCUAUGACAGUAAAUAAAAAAAAGGAAAAUACUAUUAAAAAAACCCAAGUUAAAAAGUCCGCAAAUAUUAAAGUCCAAGAGGAAAACCUGAAAGAGGAUUUAAUGGAGUGAGUAAUUUUUAGAACUCUCAAAAAUAACGACAUUUUUAAGUUAGUUUAUUUGGAUAGUUAGGACGUAUUUUGGAUUUUUAAUUGGUCUGGUUUCUCACAGAUGCAUCCAAUGGAUUCAUGCUGUAGAAACUUUUGAGGGAAUUUUUAAUCAAUGCAACUUGUGAGCCAUUGAAAAAAUAUUCAGAGUUUCUGUAGCUGAACUGUUUCGAUUGUUGUGAUGUGAUGGAUGGCAUAAGUGAUCUACUCAAGACAGAGUAGAGGCAGGCAGACGGAACAGUAGCAGUUCUAGGAGCAGAUCUGUAGCUGCCCUCCUGUUUGCGGUGCUACAAAUGCUGCAGGGAACGGUGCAGCCAACUCAGCAUGGCCCUUUCCUAGAGACCUUGAGUUCAAAGGACUGUCCCCUCUCACAGACUGAAGCGUGUCGGUGGCGGAAACGCCACUGGAGAGAGCUGCACCCAAGAGCUGGCUCCUGUGCCACAACCAGAAUCAUAUGAAGUAGGUGACAGCUCUGGAGGGUAGCUGUGUGGACCCACCCCUGACUAGACAUUUGUGGUUUGACGAUGCAGAAGAGCCAAACUAAGAGCUGUCUGUUGCCAGAAGGAUCACAGCCUGGCUGCUCCCCCUGCCCUGCCACUGCCACUCAUCCGAGACUGGCAAAACUCCUCGCCAGGCAAAAAACAUUAAAAUGGAAUGAUGCUCAGAAACACUAUGAAACAAGAAGAAUUGGAGGACUACAUUCAUGACACUGAGGAAAGGUGACCCAGCAAAGGCGACCAAAGGAGACAGCAACCCGAGACAGACCAGGAUUUGCAGAGGCCCUCAGGUAUCUCUGGAAGUUGUGGAUCUCAGAUGGUAUUUCUUCCCUCUCUGCUUCUGUGAAGAUGGAUGUUUUAAAAACACCAGCCAGAACUGGGGCCGAGAGAAACAGCAGUGCAGCACAGCCCGAGCCAGUUUCUUCACUCGCCUUCAAGACUGGAUAAGAGGAUUCUUCAGUAGAUCAGAACAUGGAAAAGCUCAGCUCUUUCAAGCCAAACUCUAUCUACAACAGUAGGGAGAUCCCACAAACAGCCUGGCACCGGAGGGAUGAACAUGAAACACGCCGAGUGGCACAGUGAGUCUUCUUCACACCCAGAAGCUGAUGUAGAGAUGUAGAAGACCCGCAUUGCUGGCAGCCUGUGCGAUCUGAGGAACAAACACGGUGUGGGCACCACAAAUACACGAGCAGCAGCUUCAGUCCUGGGGCUCCUGUUGCCGGCUCUGGAGAGGUAACACAUCUGUCCAGCUGGUGUUAGUUCUCCCAAGUAACGGCGGGGAAUGGGGUCCUGUGUAUUUGAAGGGGAGCCCAAUUCUGGCGUAGAAGUUUGUAGGAGGAUCUGGAACAUCUUGAGAGAGUUCAAAGGAAAUUGAAAAAGUGAAACUGAAGUCUUUAAGGUUAAAUUUGGGAAAUUGCCUGUUUUUAGUUUAUUUUAAAAAAAUAGUACAGAGGUGGUUUGAGUAUUGAGUUACUUUUAUAAAACACGAGAUCUGCAAAGGAGGCCUUUCUAUGUGUGUUUAUAAAAGACCUAGCAGGAUUUAAGCAGAAAUUUGCUACCUUCAGUGAAGACGCCGUCUCUGACCAAUAAGAGGAUUGUACAUUGCAAGUUCUUGCUUGGGUGAGCUCAUAGAGUGUCACUGUAGGGAAUACAUCUCCAAGAUAUACUUUAUUCAACUUCUGGGAAAAAUUUUGUAAUCCGUAUAUGCAAGAGGUGAGAGGAGAUGACCCUAAUGCUGCCUGUCGUAGCCCUCAGAACCCAAACUUCUAUGAAAGUUGGAAAAGCGAUAGAAAAUCAGCUGGAUGAUGAGGAUGAAAUUGCACGUGAUUUCUCUGGACAAGUUUUGUGUAUGAAUUGUAUGUCCACCAAGAAGCGAGUCCUGAUUUCUCCGACAUUUUUUUGGUUUGUGGUUCCUGCAGGAAUAACUGAACAGCG